GGUGAGAUGGCCGAGCGGUCUAAGGCGCCAGACUAAGGCAUUUGUCAUCUUGAUUACGUAAUCUGGUCUUUCGAGGCGUGGGUUCGAAUCCCACUCUCAUCA